rnacentral:rRNA from 1 species
GAUGAACGCUAGCUACAGGCUUAACACAUGCAAGUCGAGGGGCAGCAUGACGAUAGCUUGCUAUUGUUGAUGGCGACCGGCGCACGGGUGAGUAACGCGUAUCCAACCUGCCCUUGUCCAUCGGAUAACCCGUCGAAAGGCGGCCUAACACGAUAUGCAGUUCUCCGCAGGCAUCUAACGAGAACGAAAUGUAAAGGAGAAGGAUGGGGAUGCGUCUGAUUAGCUGUUUGGCGGGGUAACGGACCACCAAGGCGACGAUCAGUAGGGGUUCUGAGAGGAAGGUCCCCCACAUUGGAACUGAGACACGGUCCAAACUCCUACGGGCGGCAGCAGUGAGGAAUACUGGUAAAUGGGCGAGAGCCUGAACCAGCCAAGUAGCGUGCAGGACGACGGCCCUAUGGGUUGUAAACUGCUUUUAUGCGGGGAUAAAGUGAGCCACGUGUGGCUUAUUGCAGGUACCGCAUGAAUAAGGACCGGCUAAUUCCGUGCCAGCCGCCGCCGUAA